UACGUAGGGUGCGAGCGUUGCCCGGAUUUAUUGGGCGUAAAGGGCGCGUAGGUGGUUCUGUGUGCUCCGCGUGAAAUCGCCCGGCUCAACCGGGCGGGGUCGCGGAUGACUACAGGACUGGAGCCUGGGAGGGGAAGCGGAAUUCCCGGUGUAGUGGUGGAAUGACGUAGAUAUCGGGAGGAACACCAGUGGCGAAGGCGGACUUCCUGGACCAGAGCUGACACUGAGGCGCGAAAGCGUGGGAGCGAGUCGG
rnacentral:rRNA from 1 species